CAGCCGCCACGGGAAUACGUAGGUGGCAAGCGUUGUCCGGAAUUAUUGGGCGUAAAGGGCUCGCAGGCGGUUUCUUAAGUCUGAUGUGAAAGCCCCCGGCUCAACCGAGGAGGGUCAUUGGAAACUGGGAAACUUGAGUGCAGAAGAGGAGAGUGGAAUUCCACGUGUAGCGGUGAAAUGCGUAGAGAUGUGGAGGAACACCAGUGGCGAAGCCGACUCUCUGGUCUGUAACUGACGCUGAGGAGCGAAAGCGUGGGGAGCGAACAGGAUUAGAUACCCCUGUAGUCCCUGUCUCUUAUAC
rnacentral:rRNA from 1 species